rnacentral:rRNA from 1 species
GAUGAACGCUAGCUACAGGCUUAACACAUGCAAGUCGAGGGGCAGCAUGAACAUAGCUUGCUAUGUUUGAUGGCGACCGGCGCACGGGUGCGUAACACGUAUCCAAUCUACCCAUGGCUCGGGGAUAGCCUUUCGAAAGAAAGAUUAAUACCCGAUGGUCUCGGUCUAAGGCAUCUUAGACUGAGUAAAGAUUUAGCGGCGAUGGAUGAGGAUGCGUCUGAUUAGGUAGAUGGCGGGGUAACGGCCCACCAUGCCUACGAUCAGUAGGGGUUCUGAGAGGAAGGUCCCCCACAUUGGAACUGAGACACGGUCCAAACUCCUACGGGAGGCAGCAGUGAGGAAUAUUGGUCAAUGGACGAGAGUCUGAACCAGCCAAGUAGCGUGAAGGAUGACUGCCCUAUGGGUUGUAAACUUCUUUUGUUUGGGAAUAAAGUUCGGGACGUGUCCCGUUUUGUAUGUACCAUUCGAAUAAGCAUCGGCUAAUUCCAUGCCAGCAGCCGCCGUAAAAC